GGUCAGGGUGGUCUCAAACUCCCGACCUCAGGUUAUCCGCCUGCCUCGGCCUCCCAAAGUGCUGGGAUUAUAGGUGUGAGCCACCAUGCCUGGCCAGCAUUUUUUAAUAGUGACAUAACACUUCUGUGUGUCCUUUGGCCACUGGAUGUACCGUUUCUCUGUGAUGGCCACAUGACUGUCUUUGCUGGGAGCUCCCUGGGCAUUUGGGAUGACUGCCCCUGCUCAGUCAUCCUGGCUUAUCAUGUCUGUGCCAUACAGAGACCUCCCAUUUUUAGGAAGUCAAUUUAUAUUUGUCACUCUUAGUUUUUUGUAGCCUGUUUAUUUUUGAGACGGAUUCUCACUCUGUCGCCCAGGCUGGAGUGCAGUGGUGUGAUCUCUGCUCACCACAACCUCCGCCUCCCGGGUUUAAGCAAUUCUCCUGCCUCAGCCUCCCAAGUAGCAGGGAUUGAGUAGCUGGGAUUACAGGCGCCUGCCAGUACAUCUGGCCAAUUUUUGUUAAUUUAGUAGAGACAGGGUUUUGCCAUGUUGGCCAGGAUGGUCUUGAACUCCUGACCUCAAGUGAUCCUCCCAAAGUGCUGGCAUUACAAGCAUGAGUCACCGUGCCCGGCCUUUGUAGCCUAUUUAGAAACGCCUUUCCUCCCCCCAGCAAGAGAUCUUAAACAUGUAUCUUCUUCCACAUUUCUGACAUUCCCAUUUUAACACAUGAAUCACUUUUGUAAGGACUAAAAAUGGGGAUCUCAGCUUAUUUUUUGAAUAAGACUGAUAGCAAAUGCACACAGCAAAGUACAACAGCUCAGCUUGACAUAUGGUAAAGUUCCCCCAUCCGAGAUUUUUUUUUAAAUAUACUUUCUGCUGCUAUUUUAAGCUAAAAAAUUCAUUUUAAAGUAUAUAAUGAGUAUAAUGAGUUUUCUUUUUCUGGAUUCCAAGGCACCUUGAUCAAGACAACUGAAUCUUUGUACUAAUGCAUAGUGUGACCUUGUGAGAAAACAAUCACCCAUGUACCUAUUAUCUUUUUUUAUUUUCUAUUUUUUUGAGACAGGGUCUCAGUCUGUCACCCAGGCUGGAGUGCAGUGGCCUGAUCUCGGCUCAUGGCAACCUCCACCUCCUGGGUUCAAGUGAUCCCCUGCCUCCGUGUAACUGGGACUACAGGACUGUACCAUCAUAUGUAGCUAAUUCUUGUUUUGUUUUUUGAGAUGGAGUUUCACUCUUGUUGCCCAGGCUGGAGUGCAAUGGCGCAAUCUCGGCUCACUGCAGCCUCUACCUCCCGGGUUCAAGGGAUCCUCCUGCCCCAGCCUCCCAAGUAGCUGGGAUUACAGGCGUGUGCCUGGCGAAUUUUUGUAUUUUUGGUAGAGACGGGCUUUCACCAUGUUGCCCAGGCUGUUCUCGAGCUCCUGACCCCAAGUGAUCAGCCCACCUCAGCCUCCCAAAGUGUUGGGAUUACAGGCAUGAGCCACCACACCAGGCCUAAUUUUUACUUACGUAGAGAUGCAGUCUCACUAUAUUGCCUAGGCUGGUCUCAAACUCCUGGCCUCAAGCGAUCCUCCCGCUUGGCUUCCUAAAGUGCUAGAUUACAGGUAUCUGCCACCAUACCCAGCCAAUAGUGUCAAUUUUUUUUUUUUUUUAAAUGAGAUGGAGUUGUGGU
rnacentral:lncRNA from 1 species